UAUAAAACUGGGUUUGUCGUUUCAGAAUUCCAGAAGCUGUGGAGGAGCAUUCCCGUGGAUUCUAUGGAUGAGGAGAAGAUAGAGGAGUAUCUGAAACGACAGGGUAUUUCUUCCAUGCAAGAAACCGGACCAAAGAAAAUAGCCCCCAUUCAGAGGAGGAAGAAACCUGCUUCUCAGAAGAAACGCCGGUUUAAGACUCACAAUGACCACUUGGUUGGAGUAUUAAAAGAUUACUCUGAUGUGGUUCCUGGCAAGCAGUGAGCGGUUGAGUUCAGGAGCAAACGCGCGUUUCUAGACGGGCUUGCUGCUGCUGGGGCUCGGUGUCUGCUCGCAGAAGGACUGACUGUAUAUAAUAAUGUGAUGUGUUUCCCCCACCCCAGCAACUGCCGAGGUGAAACAGGUCAGUUUAAGAGCGAGUGUGAGCUACUAAAUUUAGAGGUUAAUUUAAUUAGCUAAUGGGAAACGUUUCUUUGAGUAAGAGGUUCUCACUAGUUGCCUGUUGGCAUAGGGUGAUAAAUGGUGCUCAGCAUGUAAUGCAGGAAUUCCUGCUCAGUGCUUAACUCUGCUUUUACAUUGCUUAAUGGGUAUUUACCUGGAAUUACUUACAAGGGGCUUUCUAGUGGGAUUGAAUUCAGCAUUUGUUUUACCUGUUUCAGGAAAACCUUUUCCUAAAAUCACUGCAGGCAAAGUUUCUUUCACAGUCAAAUACACCCCCGGUUUGUAAGCUUCUUCCUUGCCAUGGGACUGAGCUUUACUGAAAGGCGGUGAUAUCUGAGACUCUCCCUAAAAUCCCAGCAGGCAGGCUGUGGGAUGGGAUGCAGCCAGAGCCUUCCUAAUGUUAAUUAGGAAUUGCCCUUGGCGAUGUCUCCUCACUGUUGUGGGUACAAGUGUGUUGCACGUUCUGCUCUGUGCACAGGAGGGAAAUAAAACGACGGUGUAAUAGUGUUUUGGGUUUUUUUUCCUUUUAAGUAAUAAAUUUUCAAUGCAGGUUUC